AUAAAAGAGCAAUGUGUAAGUGCUAAACCUCUAGGAAAGAAAGAAUUGCUUUGGGAGAGCUUGCAAACAUCCUUCUGCAAUACAAUUAUGAAGACUAUUUCAGAAAGAAACAGUAACUGGGCUUGCUAGUCAGUAGUCAUCACAGUGGUUCAUACAAUUCCAUAGCAAGGAUCGAGAUAUGUGUGCUCCGGCAUUAUACCUCAGAGCCAACUUCUUACUCUAUUCAGCAGGAGGGUAGAUUCCACAUCCUGUGGGUUGUUGCUGUUUUAAUUUCCAUGACAACAAGUUAAAUGUGCUUUUGGGCUUUGUAAUAAAUCAUGCUAACAUUUUCUUCUGUUGAUAGAAAAAAAAUAUAUUCGUGGCAGAGGAUGUUUUUGCAAGCACAUCAUAUCACACUGUUUUCUUCUAAAGCAGCUUCAUCUCUAUUUCAACCGAAGCCAGUAAUUAAAUUGUACAGCUGGAAGAAAAUUCCAGGAAUACAAAUCUCUAGUGAAAAUCAGAGUUCAAUGCCCCCUCUGUCUCUCCUGCUGACUUAUCAAGG
rnacentral:lncRNA from 1 species